rnacentral:rRNA from 1 species
GAUCCUGGCUCAGGAUGAACGCUGGCGGCAUGCCUAAUACAUGCAAGUCGAACGCCGGAAGGAUGAAGUUUGCUUCGUCCGGAAGGAGUGGCGAACGGGUGAGUAACACGUAGACAACCUGCCUGUAAGACCGGGAUAACGGAUGGAAACGUCUGCUAAUACCGGAUAGGUAGCGGGGAGGCAUCUUCCUGCUAUUAAAGUCGGGACACGACGCUGACAGAUGGAUCUGCGGUGCAUUAG